rnacentral:rRNA from 1 species
GGUAGGGGUAACACCCUCACGCGCCGCAUUUCCUGCAUCCUUUUUUUACGAGCACCUUUCGUUCUCCUUCGGCGGGGCAACCUGCCGCUGGAACUUAACAAAACCUUUUUUGCAUCUAGCAU